UUCUGCUUUUGCCGUUU
rnacentral:sRNA from 1 species